UCUCCGUAGGUGAACCUGCGGAGGGAUCAUUACCGAGUGAGGGUUCCGGCCCGACCUCCAACCCCAUGUGAAAUCGACUGAUUUGCCUCGGGGGGUGAGCCGGCCUCGGUGCCGGUAAGCCCCCCGCAGGACACCAAUCAAACUCUUGCGUAUCGUACGUCGGAGUAUAGAGCAAAUCAAAGCAAAACUUUCAACAACGGAUCUCUUGGUUCUGGCAUCGAUGAAGAACGCAGC
rnacentral:misc_RNA from 1 species